rnacentral:rRNA from 1 species
AGUUAACGUUGGCGGCGUGCCUAACACAUGCAAGUCGAACGCGUCCUAAGGGCAACUUUAGGAUGAGUGGCGAACGGGUGAGUAUCACGUGGGUAAUCUUCCUUCAAGUGGGGAAUAAGCUCUCGAAAGGGAGUCUAAUACCGCAUGACAUUCCGGGACACAAGUCCCGUAAUCAAAGCCGCAAGGCGCUUGAAGAUGAGCCUGCGUCCUAUUAGCUAGUUGGUGGGGUAACGGCCUACCAAGGCUUAGAUGGGUAGCCGGCCUGAGAGGGUGAACGGCCACACUGGGACUGAGACACGGCCCAGACUCCUACGGGAGGCAGCAGUGAGGAAUUUUGCGCAAUGGGGGAAACCCUGACGCAGCGACGCCGCGUGGAGGAUGAAGGCCUUCGGGUCGUAAACUCCUGUCAGAGGUGAAGAAUACCGCAAGGUUGACGGUAACCUCAGAGGAAGCCCGGCUAACUACGUGCCAGCAGCCGCGGUAAAGUCACGUCG